rnacentral:rRNA from 1 species
CUACGGGGCGCUGCAGUGAGGAAUAUUGGUCAAUGGGCGCAAGCCUGAACCAGCCAAUCCGCGUGCAGGAUGAAUGCCCUAUGGGUUGUAAACUGCUUUUAUACAGGAAGAAUCCUUCAUACGUGUAUGGAGCUGACUGUACUGUAAGAAUAAGCAUCGGCUAACUCCGUGCCAGCAGCCGCGGUAAUACGGAGGAUGCGAGCGUUAUCCGGAUUUAUUAGGUCUAAAGGGUGCGUAGGCGGAUAAUUAAGUCAGUGGUGAAAUCCUGCAGCUUAACUGUAGAACUGCCAUUGAUACUGGUUGUCUUGAGUUUAGUUGAGGUAAGCGGAAUGUGUAGUGUAGCGGUGAAAUGCUUAGAUAUUACACAGAACACCGAUUGCGAAGACAGCUUACUAAGCUACAACUGACGCUGAGGCACGAAAGCGUGGGGAGCGAACAGGAUUAGAUACCCCUGUAGUC